rnacentral:rRNA from 1 species
CCUACGGGAGGCAGCAGUGGGGAAUAUUGCACAAUGGGGGAAACCCUGAUGCAGCGACGUCGCGUGAGUGAAGAAGUAUCUCGGUACGUAAAGCUCUAUCAGCAGGGAAGAAAAUGACGGUACCUGACUAAGAAGCCCCAGCUACCUACGUGCCAGCAGCCGCGGUAAGACGUAGGGGGCAAGCGUUACCCGGAUUUACUGGGUGUAAAGGGAGAGUAGACGGCAGUACAAGUCUGGAGUGAAAUACCGGGGCUUAACCCCGGAACUGCUUUGGAAACUGUGCGGCUGGAGUGCGGGAGGGGUAAGCGGAAUGCCUAGUGUAGCGGUGAAAUGCAUAGAUAUUACGAGGAACGCCGGUGGCGAAGGCGGCUUACUGGACUGUAACUGACGUUGAGGCUCGAAAGCGUGGGGAGCAAACAGGAUUAGAUACCCCAGUAGUC